rnacentral:rRNA from 1 species
UACGUAGGUGGCAAGCGUUGUCCGGAUUUACUGGGCGUAAAGGGCGUGCAGGCGGUUUGUUAAGUGCAGAGUGAAAGCUCCCGGCUCAACUGGGAGAGGUCUUUGCAUACUGGCAAACUCGAGGGAGGCAGAGGAAAGUGGAAUUCCCGGUGUAGUGGUGAUAUGCGUAGAUAUCGGGAGGAACACCAGUGGCGAAGGCGGUUGCCUGGGGCUUUGCUGACGCUGAUGCGCGAAAGCCAGGGGAGCAAACGGG